rnacentral:lncRNA from 1 species
UAAAUAUAGCAGAUAUGCCCGGAUUUCAAACACGGUUUAGCAACAGUCACACACACACAGUUUCAUGGACAGCUUCUUUCUUUCUGCAUUGUCUGCAGGAACAGGAACAGUGACUCUAAACGGCAAACAGUGGGAGCCGUUCCAGUAUCAAUAAGGAUUAUGACAAGGGAGCGAGUUUGUUUGCUUGGCUGCAAAGGCCUUGGAAUCCAGUGCAUUAGACACAAUUAUACACACUCCAUCUUCUGUGAGCGUCACUCCCAGCUGGCACGAGAGGUCUGAGACUGUCGGCACAUCAGGAAAAAUCCUCCUAAAAGCCUGGAGUGUGCAGGAUGAAUUCCCACCUUUGUUCUUGAGGGAACAGCACUAAGCACCACCAAAGGUAAAACGUGCUGCCUUUCCCUCGCAAAAUUCUGAACUGACUAUGGAAGGCCUCAGCUCAACCCCUGCAGGCAAGCAUCAGCAUCCUGGAAAUCACCACUCCAACUCUGCAGAGGGAUGUCAGCUCGUGAGAAGCGGUGCAGCGCGAAAGCUCUUGUGGCAGCUGUCUGUUAUGUCUGGGACGAUGGAAGUUAAAUUUGUUUGCUCACAGCUAUGCAAAUGCUGUCGCUGAUGUGCUGCUCCCUUAACCUGUCUCAUGUAUGUCUCUGGGUGUAACUUCCAGCGCUUAUUCCUCCAGGGGAUUCCUUUUGGUUUGUGGGUAUUUUUUUUUUUCUUUAUCUAAACAGGACUGGUGCCUUUCUGUCAACUUAAAGCAUGACCACCGACAAGAGGUAGCAAAUGAAAGCAGUGACAAUAUGGAGAGGAAGGGGCAAAGGCUGUGCAAAGAAAAACCAUGCAGAAGAAGGCCGGGUUUGCUUACAUUCCUCGUACCAGGGAGAGUCCUUUCAGCAAACUUUAGGAGGGAACAGCUGCUCAUAGUGAAAACAAGACUGUCCUGCUGAUCCAAGCUGAAAUGUGACAUGGAAGUGGGAUUUUUGACCUUGAAAGAUGCGUCCGUUGUGACGAAGUUGAUAUUAAAGACUAUCGAGCGGGAAAAGAGUUUGGGAAGCGGUGAGGUGAACGUGGACUUCCAGAAACCCAGGAGGCUUGCAGGGACAGGUCAGACAAUCCUUAGAAGCAAAGGAAGCAAGCACACGACAAAAGGAAAUUUUCCUUGUACCUAAUUGUAAGCUCUGCUUAGAUUUGCUGGCAGGGUAACCUGUCUCUCUCCUUCAGCUGCAGAGGGAGCUUGAGGAGGCUACCUGCUUAAACUUGGUACCUAAAUGCCACAACGUGAAUAUUUCAUAGGGUUACUAACUUUGGCGUGAUUGGAGACUUUGAUGGUAAAGAUGCCUUGAUUGUUCAUGGUAUGAAUUUGUCUCCCCAUGAUGCAACAGCUUCAAGAGGAAGAGAAAAUAACUAGAAUAAAGUAAUACUUCCAUGUUGGUGAUGGUCA